ACGAGAUCCAGUGUCGACGAACAA
rnacentral:siRNA from 1 species